rnacentral:lncRNA from 10 species
AUGAGGUCACUGGGUCAGAACCCAACAGAAGCUGAAUUGCAGGAUAUGAUCAAUGAAGUGGAUGCUGAUGGUAAUGGCACCAUUGACUUCCCCGAAUUUUUGACUAUGAUGGCUAGAAAAAUGAAAGAUACAGAUAGUGAAGAAGAAAUCCGUGAGGCAUUCCGAGUCUUUGACAAGUGCAGCAGAACUACGUCACGUCAUGACAAACUUAGGAGAAAAACUAACAGAUGAAGAAGUAGAUGAAAUGAUCAGAGAAGCAGAUAUUGAUGGAGACGGACAAGUCAACUAUGAAGAAUUCGUACAGAUGAUGACUGCAAAAUGAAGACCUACUUUCAACUCCUUUUUCCCCCCUCUAGAAGAAUCAAAUUGAAUCUUUUACUUACCUCUUGCAAAAAAAAGAAAAAAGAAAAAAGUUCAUUUAUUCAUUCUGUUUCUAUA